AAUAAGUCCUAGAUAGAAGCUCUGAACUGCAAAACCAACUAAAUUUAAGCUUAUCGCUUUUUCCUAAAGCAACUUCUGCAUGACCUGCUUAGGUCCUUUUUUAUUCUGUGUUUAUUCUUCCUUCAGGAAAGGAAUUAACUUAAGGAAGGAAACAGAGCAGGAGGGAGACUGGGAAGCAAAAGAAAUAGAGAUGUCACAUGUGUAUGCAGUUGAGCUACUGAUGGGUCAGGAUUGAAGAAGAGCUUCCCUCGUUAAACAUGUCUUCUGAAUGGGCUGCUGAAUAAGGUCAUCCCUUAUUUCCAUCCAAGAAAGGCAGCCUUAAUUCUGAUGGUUGAGCAUGGGAGCAGAAUUGAAUCUUUGAACUAAGAAAAUAAAGGAUGCAAAGUACAUAUGAGACUUCAGACAAAAUGUUACGUGCUCUGGACUACUCUGAAUAGGACCAAUGGCAUGAAGAGCCUGAGUAACUAAAGAAACAGAAAUGUCUCUCUCACACAGACUCUUAAAAUUUUUGUUAGUUCUACAUGUUAUACUAAAAACUGGUCGGAUGCUGAAUUCUCAUUCAUCGCCACCUGUGAAUACUAUAUUGGCUGUUACUGCUGACACCUGCUUCUUGUCCUCUGCCCAUUCUCCUCUCAUUGCAUGUUCUGCUAAUGUAUUUAAUGUGUCUAAUGCAUUUAACAAUCUCCCAGUUCCAGCAUUUCUAGUCUUUUCUUGUUUAAAUUCCUCCCAGAGAACUCUGAUCCCCCCAUCCUAUCCUUGUGUUCAUAGGGAAGAAAAAGGUAAGUCCUUGUAGCAUAAAACAAUUUAAAAUAUUCACUACUCUUCCUGUUGCAUGCA